GACGAAGGAUGCAAGCGUUAUCCGGAUUCAUUGGGUUUAAAGGGAGCGUAGGUGGCCUUAUAAGUCAGUGGUGAAAUCUCUCGACUUAACCGAGAAAUUGCCAUUGAUACUGUAGGGCUUGAGUAUAGUUGCCGUUGGCGGAAUAUGACAUGUAGUGGUGAAAUACAUAGAGAUGUCAUAGAACACCGAUUGCGAAGGCAGCUGACGAAACUGUAACUGACACUGAGGCUCGAAAGUGCGGGGAUCAAACAGG
rnacentral:rRNA from 1 species